rnacentral:rRNA from 2 species
UUGAUUGAUGGUGCUUGCACCUGAUUGAUUUUGGUCGCCAACGAGUGGCGGACGGGUGAGUAACACGUAGGUAACCUGCCCAGAAGCGGGGGACAACAUUUGGAAACAGAUGCUAAUACCGCAUAACAACGUUGUUCGCAUGAACAACGCUUAAAAGAUGGCUUCUCGCUAUCACUUCUGGAUGGACCUGCGGUGCAUUAGCUUGUUGGUGGGGUAACGGCCUACCAAGGCGAUGAUGCAUAGCCGAGUUGAGAGACUGAUCGGCCACAAUGGGACUGAGACACGGCCCAUACUCCUACGGGAGGCAGCAGUAGGGAAUCUUCCACAAUGGGCGCAAGCCUGAUGGAGCAACACCGCGUGAGUGAAGAAGGGUUUCGGCUCGUAAAGCUCUGUUGUUAAAGAAGAACACGUAUGAGAGUAACUGUUCAUACGUUGACGGUAUUUAACCAGAAAGUCACGGCUAACUACGUGCCAGCAGCCGCGGUAAUACGUAGGUGGCAAGCGUUAUCCGGAUUUAUUGGGCGUAAAGAGAGUGCAGGCGGUUUUCUAAGUCUGAUGUG